ACAGGCAGGUUUCCCGACGACCCUUACGAUCGCGUUUGGAACCCCUCCAUCGAUCCUUCAUGGGUUACCUUCGUCCACCGAUUUGAAGGUGGACAAUGCCGACGAUUUAUUCGAGCCGCCUAUCACAGUUCUGCAGACCGCGGUGACUCCGGCUACUGGCCGGCAGCUGGACUUUUCCUUGGACGCCGCCUCCCCAGACGACAAGCUGUACCACGUCCUCUACUUCACCCAACUCCGGGCGCUGACGGGCAACGCGACCAGGGUGUUCAACAUCACCCGGAAUGGCGAGACCAGAUCUAGUUGGUAUACCCCGCGUUACCUAUCAUGUGGUUACACAUACAGCGUUGAGCCAUUCGAAGGCUAUUCUCGAUACCAAUACGUUCUCGACGCCACGAGCAACUCCACCCUCCCCCCCAUCAUCAACGCCUUCGAGGUAUACUCUCUGAAGCAGCUCACCCAAGCAGCCACCGAUUCUGGAGAUGGCUCAGAACUCGACAAAAAUAUACCACAGGAAUCUGGUUUCACUGGUUGGUUAUUGCAUCGAUAAAAAUUGCCUAGCUCUUGUUUAUGAAUAUAUGCAGCGAGGAAGUCUUCAUGAGAAUCUACAAGAUAAGGCUGGUCGUGCUAAAGCCUUGAACUGGGGUCAACGACUACGAAUUGCACUUGACGCUGCACGAGGACUGGAAUAUAUGCAUAAAGGAUGCAGGCCUCCAAUAAUCCAUAGAGAUAUCAAGACCAAUAACAUUCUCUUGAGUGAAGAACUAGAGGCUAGAUAGCAGAUUUUGGGUUAUCCAAGUCUUUCCAUACUGAUGACCAAACCCACGUGUCCACAAAGAUGAUGGUUGGCACCCCUGGAUAUAUCCAUCCUGAGUGCCAUCAAACUUACCAACUCACCGACAAGAGUGAUGUGUAUAGCUUUGGUAUAGUUCUGUUGGAGCUUAUCACAGGAAGACCUCCGAUUGUGCCUGGUCUGGGAAACAUUCACAUCAUGCAGUGGAUCACCCCAAGUCUUUCCUCGGGGAACAUAGAUGAAAUUGUUGAUGAAAAUCUACACGGAAAAUACGACCCUACUUCUGCAUGGAAGAUCCUGGAAUUAGCUCUCACGUGCACAGCAGAUAAAGGCAGCCAGAGACCAACAAUGUUCGAAGUAGUGAUGCAGCUGAAGAGCUGCUUGGAGCAAGAGAUUGAUUCUUACAAGAACGAGAACAUAUAUAGUAAAGGCUUUAAUGUAAGCCAAGAAACUGCAUCUGAUAUAGGACCAUUUGGUCCUUCUGCCAGAUAAAUCCAUCACAGUUAUUUCUGCUACGUAAUACUAUGUGUGGGUUUAGAUGAGAUAUGUUGAAUAGAGUCCUCGAAAGAAGUCCAGCUACAUUCAUGUUGGCUAGUAUUUCUAUGCAUGGCAAUGAUUUUGAGUUCUGCCACUCACUGGCCUGACUUCAGAACCACAAAAUCAAGCUUCAUCGUGGUUGUACAACUCUUUUGCUACAUAACAAGUUCUUGAAAUUGAGAUCUUGGGAGAUUAAAGCCAAAGGAAGAUGGUUAUCGAUGCAAAGCUGGUUAAGCUCAUGGUUUGCACCUAGUCAUUAUUCCUUUAGUGUAUGCCUUAUUAGUUUAGGUGCCUGCAUGGUGGUGUGUCUUUGAUUGUGUUGGUUAAUGUAUAAAAUGUCUGAACAUAUU